rnacentral:rRNA from 1 species
GGGCAAAAAGAUGUAGGGCGGGCUGGAACCUCUCGGGGUUACAGCCUUGCUGAAUUAUUCACCCUUGUCUUUUGCGUACUUCUUGUUUCCUUGGUGGGUUCGCCCACCACUAGGACAAACAUAAACCUUUUGUAAUUGCAAUCAGCGUCAGUAACAAAUUAAUAAUUACAACUUUCAACAACGGAUCUCUUGGUUCUGGCAUCGAUGAAGAACGCAGCGAAAUGCGAUAAGUAGUGUGAAUUGCAGAAUUCAGUGAAUCAUCGAAUCUUUGAACGCACAUUGCGCCCUUUGGUAUUCCAAAGGGCAUGCCUGUUCGAGCGUCAUUUGUACCCUCAAGCUUUGCUUGGUGUUGGGCGUCUUGUCUCUAGCUUUGCUGGAGACUCGCCUUAAAGUAAUUGGCAGCCGGCCUACUGGUUUCGGAGCGCAGCACAAGUCGCACUCUCUAUCAGCAAAGGUCUAGCAUCCAUUAAGCCUUUUUUUCAACUUUUGACCUCGGAUCAGGUAGGGAUACCCGCUGAACUUAAGCAUAUCAAUAAGCGGAGGAA